rnacentral:rRNA from 1 species
UUGCUGGGCGGAUUAUGGCGAACGGGUGAGUAAUACGUGAGUAACCUGCCCUUGACUCUGGGAUAAGCCUGGGAAACUGGGUCUAAUACUGGAUACUACUUCCUGCCGCAUGGUGGGUGGUGGAAAGGGUUUUACUGGUUUUGGAUGGGCUCACGGCCUAUCAGCUUGUUGGUGGGGUAAUGGCUCACCAAGGCGACGACGGGUAGCCGGCCUGAGAGGGUGACCGGCCACACUGGGACUGAGACACGGCCCAGACUCCUACGGGAGGCAGCAGUGGGGAAUAUUGCACAAUGGGCGGAAGCCUGAUGCAGCGACGCCGCGUGAGGGAUGACGGCCUUCGGGUUGUAAACCUCUUUCAGUAGGGAAGAAGCGAGAGUGACGGUACCUGCAGAAGAAGCGCCGGCUAACUACGUGCCAGCAGCCGCGGUAAUACGUAGGGCGCAAGCGUUGUCCGGAAUUAUUGGGCGUAAAGAGCUCGUAGGCGGUUUGUCGCGUCUGCUGUGAAAGCCCGGGGCUCAACCCCGGGUCUGCAGUGGGUACGGGCAGACUAGAGUGCAGUAGGGGAGACUGGAAUUCCUGGUGUAGCGGUGAAAUGCGCAGAUAUCAGGAGGAACACCGAUGGCGAAGGCAGGUCUCUGGGCUGUUACUGACGCUGAGGAGCGAAAGCAUGGGGAGCGAACAGGAUUAGAUACCCUGGUAGUCCAUGCCGUAAACGUUGGGCACUAGGUGUGGGGGACAUUCCACGUUUUCCGCGCCGUAGCUAACGCAUUAAGUGCCCCGCCUGGGGAGUACGGCCGCAAGGCUAAAACUCAAAGGAAUUGACGGGGGCCCGCACAAGCGGCGGAGCAUGCGGAUUAAUUCGAUGCAACGCGAAGAACCUUACCAAGGCUUGACAUUCACCGGACCGCCCCAGAGAUGGGGUUUCCCUUCGGGGCUGGUGGACAGGUGGUGCAUGGUUGUCGUCAGCUCGUGUCGUGAGAUGUUGGGUUAAGUCCCGCAACGAGCGCAACCCUCGUUCUAUGUUGCCAGCACGUGAUGGUGGGGACUCAUAGGAGACUGCCGGGGUCAACUCGGAGGAAGGUGGGGAUGACGUCAAAUCAUCAUGCCCCUUAUGUCUUGGGCUUCACGCAUGCUACAAUGGCCGGUACAAAGGGUUGCGAUACUGUGAGGUGGAGCUAAUCCCAAAAAGCCGGUCUCAGUUCGGAUUGAGGUCUGCAACUCGACCUCAUGAAGUCGGAGUCGCCUGUAAUCGCAGAUCAGCAACGCUGCGGUGAAUACGUUCCCGGGCCUUGUACACACCGCCCGUCAAGUCACGAAAGUUGGUAACACCCGAAGCC